rnacentral:misc_RNA from 1 species
CUGCUGCCGGCGAGCGCGCGAUGUGCAUACCGACCGCGGCCUGCGACGCUGCACCCGAGGGACACACAUGAUCCGCUAACACAUUCCUACUUAUUACGUACUGUGACCAAAGUGUUGUGCUGUGAGGAUUUAUUACUAUUAUAUUCAUAUUUAUUCCGGUUUACACAAACAAGCUAAGAGGACUUCUAUUAUAUUUAAGACCACAACACACAUGACUCCAUAGUCUUCAAGAUGGUGGACACACAACACUUCUGCCUCCGGUGGAACAACUACCAGAGCAGCAUCACCAGCGCCUUCGAGAACCUACGGGAUGACGAAGAUUUCGUCGAUGUCACUCUCGCCUGUGACGGCAAGAGUUUGAAGGCCCAUAGAGUGGUCUUGUCGGCUUGCAGCCCGUAUUUUAGGGAGCUGUUAAAGUCAACACCAUGCAAGCACCCAGUGAUCGUGCUCCAAGACGUGGCGUUUACUGAUCUUCACGCGUUGGUGGAGUUCAUCUACCAUGGAGAGGUGAACGUGCAUCAGAGGAGCCUGUCUUCAUUCCUCAAGACAGCUGAGGUGCUUCGAGUGUCGGGGCUCACGCAUAAUGAUAAUGCUCAGGGGCCACUACUGCAGCCGAUGCGGGCUCCGUCAACGACUUCCCCGCACACGCCGCCCCACUCAGCCCACAGCACGCACAUCAGCCACGCGCCAUCCUACGACCGCCUGGAGGAAGCCCUGCUGCAGCCCACAUCCUCCAGCGUGCAGCAGCUCAUGCGCCGUACCCCUCUCCCGCCGCGCCGCCUCAGCCGCUCCGCCGACAACAGCCCUGACGUCAUCAAACGCCCCCGUCACGACAACAACAACGAACAACCCCAGAUCCAUGCUACCGACUUUUCCACCAAGAACAAUACUCAUAGUCGCCAUGAGACGGGAAACAACGGGAAUGGCAUUUCCAACAGCAGCUCGUCCCCUUCUCCCCGGCUGAUCGAUGAAGUGAAGAAUGAGCCGAUUGAUAUGUGUCCGUCUUCGAACCCGGAUAUUGAUAGGAGCACGGAUGAUACGCCGCCUCAUCAUCAUAGACCACUUGGAGGGGGCCCGCCGUCCCGCGGCAGCUCGGCCGAUGCUGAGGAGUGCACGCCGCCACCGCACCCGCCGCCUUUCAUACAGCCUCCGGAAACCAAGCUCUUCAACCCGGCGAAUACAUACAACUUUCCCAUGGACGCACUGACGCAUCCCUCUUUGACUGGUCUGCAAAGUCCAUUGACUCCGGACGGCAUCGCAAGUACUUCCCAAGGUAAAAAGGUAUUCACGUGCACGUUAUGCGGGAAGGUUCUGUGCUCAAAGGCGUCGUUGAAGCGGCAUAUCGCUGACAAACAUGCCGAGAGACAAGAGGAGUACCGAUGCAAUAUAUGUGAGAGGGUGUACUGCUCCCGGAACUCCCUGAUGACCCACAUAUACACGUACCACAAGUCGAGGACAGGGGAGACAGAUCAAAUACGAUUUUUUUAGUGACUACUCGGACGGAGUUGGCGCGGCGUGCGGCAGUAUUCUUCUAGCAAAGAGAAUCUACUCGAGCACAACCUACAUGAACCCGCCGUACAUAGCAACACUUACAAAGCAGUACCGCCCCUCCGUAUGCCCCCGCCCACCGCCGGCGGUAUCAACGAGCCCCAAGAGUGUCCUUACUGCCGCAGGACAUUCUCUUGUUACUAUUCCUUGAAACGACACUUCCAAGACAAGCACGAGCAGUCGGAC